GGAGCAGUGGCAGAGCGGCUGAUCGCGACGGUUUUGAAAACCGUUUUACCGCAAGGUAACGGGGGUUCGAAUCCCUCCUGCUCCG
rnacentral:tRNA from 1 species